rnacentral:rRNA from 1 species
UAGGGAAUCUUCCGCAAUGGGCGAAAGCCUGACGGAGCAACGCCGCGUGAGUGAUGAAGGUCUUCGGAUCGUAAAACUCUGUUAUUAGGGAAGAACAAAUGUGUAAGUAACUAUGCACGUCUUGACGGUACCUAAUCAGAAAGCCACGGCUAACUACGUGCCAGCAGCCGCGGUAAUACGUAGGUGGCAAGCGUUAUCCGGAAUUAUUGGGCGUAAAGCGCGCGUAGGCGGUUUUUUAAGUCUGAUGUGAAAGCCCACGGCUCAACCGUAGAGGGUCAUUGGAAACUGGAAAACUUUAGUGCAGAAGAGGAAAGUGCAAUUCCAUGUGUAGCGGUAAAAUGCGCAGAGAUAUGGAGGACCACCAGUGGCGAAGGCGACUUUCUGGUCUGUAACUGACGCUGAUGUGCGAAGGCGUGGUGAUCAAACAGG